UGCGCCGCCCCGCCCCACCCACGCUGCCAUCUUCCUCCCAGUAACUGCGGGCCUGCGGCUCUUGUGCCGCCUCCCUGCAAGGCUGGGGUUGGAUUGGGCUUCUCUAAAGAUGCCAUGGUAAAAAGAAGGUCACGUUUGUUGCAUGAUUUGAAUGGAACCUAAGAAGAGACCAUGCUACAUUCUCAUGAGUCAUGAAGACUUGCUGGCACCAGAGUCUGAAACACUGACUUCAUUAGUGACAUAGAUGAUGUGGUGGAAACUUUUUCACUACCAACCUGGAAGAUGUUCAGAUAGUUGAUGACCUAGUUGAGAGGAGCCAAGAAAGUCACGGUGGACACUUUGGCAAAUUGUCAUCAGCAACAGCAUUACAUCAACUAAGGAGAGAGCUGAAUUAGAAAAAACAUUUAAUUUGAGCUCAAAAGAUAUUUUAAAUUUGAUUAUAAA